rnacentral:rRNA from 1 species
UACGUAGGUGGCAAGCGUUGUCCGGAAUUAUUGGGCGUAAAGCGCGCGCAGGCGGUCCUUUAAGUCUGAUGUGAAAGCCCACGGCUCAACCGUGGAGGGUCAUUGGAAACUGGGUGACUUGAGUACAGAAGAGAAGAGUGGAAUUCCACGUGUAGCGGUGAAAUGCGUAGAGAUGUGGAGGAACACCAGUGGCGAAGGCGACUCUUUGGUCUGUAACUGACGCUGAGGCGCGAAAGCGUGGGGAGCAAACAGG